GUAUAUCUAUAACAUAUUUAAAGCAAAAAGUCAAAUUAAUCACUUGUUAUCACUUAUUCAUUCAAUAAUUGUUAAGGGCGGGGGACAGGAAUAAGACCUGGUGGUGCUGGGACAGGACCAGGAGGCUAUGGACCUGGUGGUGCUGGGACUGGUCCUGGAGGAUAUGGUCCAAGAAAAAUAAAAUCUGGUGCAGGUGUUGGGCCAGGAGGUGUAGGGCCAGGAGGGAUUCGACCAGGCAGCUCUGGUGUUGGUCCAGGUGGAAUAGGACCAGGAGGAUUUGGACCUGCUGGUGCUGGAACUGGACCAGGAGGAUUUGCACCUGGAGGUGCUGGGACUGGACCUGGAGGAUUCGGGCCUGGUGGUGCUGGGACAGGACCUGGAGGGUUCGGACCUGGUGGUGCUGGGACUGGACCUGGAGGCUUUGGACCUGGUGGUGCUGGGACUGGACCUGGAGGCUUUGGACCUGGUGGACAAGGACUCGGACUGAGAAAACCUCCAAAAUCUGGUUAUGGAGGAGCUGGAUUUGACACUGG
ensembl:lncRNA